rnacentral:rRNA from 1 species
AGCAGUCGCCGCGGGAAAACGUAGGUGGCAAGCGUUGUCCGGAAUUAUUGGGCGUAAAGCGCGCGCAGGCGGAUCAGUCAGUCUGUCUUAAAAGUUCGGGGCCUAACCCCGUGAGGGGAUGGAAACUGCUGAUCUAGAGUAUCGGAGAGGAAAGUGGAAUUCCUAGUGUAGCAGUGAAAUGCGUAGAUAUUAGGAAGAACACCAGUGGCGAAGGCGACUUUCUGGACGAAAACUGACGCUGAGGCGCGAAAGCCAGGGGAGCGAACGGGAUUAGAUACCCCUGUAGUCCCUGUCUCUUAUACA